AGUAGGAGUGCAUAUAUUGUUUCAGACUGAUUCUUAAAUAAUAUGACUGAGUUGUAGGCAUUCAAUCUUUGUUAGAUGGAUAAAUGAAUAUAAGAAACAAUUAAAAUCCAAUCCAAGGCCAGCAAAUAGGUAGAUGCAAUCCAACACUGCUCUGAAAUUGGUUAAGUUUAGAGAGGGGCUGCUAUUGGAGAGGGUGAAUUGGAUGACAGGAUGAAAGUGGAAUUUGGGGCCCAUCAUGUGGCAUGGUGUCCUGGUGGACUGAAAGCAAACAGAUCCACUGGGAAGCCAUUGGACAAAGUCCUCUGGACUGACCCUUCUUAACUUCAUCUUUUUCCCUUGGAGAGUUGUGACAUUCUGAAGUGUCUCCAGGGGGCCACACAGAGAUCUUAAACAUACUUCGAAUAUCCUUUUAGAACUUUGGGUAGCAGUAACUACCAGAGCUGAACAUAUGACUUUAUAUCCAGCAAUUCCACUCCUAGAUAUAUAUAAAAGAGAAGCGAGUACAUAUGUUUACCAAAAAAACAUGUAAAAGUGUCAUGUUAUCAUAACUCACAAUUACCAAAAACCAAAAAAUUACCCAAAUACCCAUCAGUAUUUGAUGUGAAAUGAAUAAGUUGUGGUAGAUCUAGACAAUGAAGUACUAAAUAGCAAUACAGAUGAAUCUCACAACAUUGAAAGAAAUAAGCCCAAUAAAAAUAAGGACUUCUGUAUGAUUCCAUUUAUAUAAAACUUAAAAAUAGGCAAAACUGAGGCUGAGGUUGUGGCUCAGUGGCAGAGUGCUUGCCUAACGUGUGAGGCACUGGGUUGGAUUCUCAGCACCACAUACAAAUAAAAAAAGGUCCAUUGACAACUAAAAACUAUUAAAAAAAAAAAAAAAGGCAAAACUAAUCUAUGGUGAAAGAAAUCAGGAAGGAGCUCCCAGCUGGGAUUGGUAAUGACUGGAAGGAAUCUCCAAUGUUUUGAUAGUUUUUCUGAGACUGGUGUUCACUUUGAGAAAAUUCACCAAGUAUAACUCAUGCAUUUUUCUGUA
rnacentral:lncRNA from 1 species